rnacentral:tRNA from 1 species
GAGGAUAUAGCUCAGUGGUAGAGUACGUGCUUAGCAAGCACAAGGUCCUGGGUUCAAUUGCCAGUACCUGCG